UUGAUGGAGAGUUUGAUCCUGGCUCAGGACGAACGCUGGCGGCGUGCUUAACACAUGCAAGUCGAACGGGGUCCAGUCUGUAGCAAUACAGAGGAAGACCUAGUGGCGAACGGGUGAGGAACACGUGAGGAAUCUGUCCCGAACUCUGGGAUAACAGUUGGAAACGACUGCUAAUACCGGAUGCCGUCAUUGGAUCGCAUGAUUCGAUGACGAAAGAAUUUCGGUUCGGGAGGAUCUCGCGGCCUAUCAGCUUGUUGGUGGGGUAAUGGCCUACCAAGGCAUCGACGGGUAGCUGGUCUGAGAGGAUGAUCAGCCACACUGGGACUGAGACACGGCCCAGACUCCUACGGGAGGCAGCAGUGGGGAAUCU
rnacentral:rRNA from 1 species